AUGCGUUUAAUCCCACGCAACAAACUCCUCUGUGCUGGGUUGUGAUCUUAAAAAGGAGCUUUACUGUAUAGUGUUACAGUAGGAAUACCUACUAGAUCGAGGAUUCGGAACAGUACUAUCCUGUUUAUAUUGACAUUCUUCUGUUAAGAUUUCCCGUUUGAGAAACCCUUUAAGAUCUGAGUAUCUCGGAAUUGAAAAUAGGACUUUAUUUGCAUCCCUUCCAUUUCAUAGGAAUACAGCUAAGGAUACCAUCAGCUCGCAUACUAUUUACGGGAAACAGAAGUAGGGCAAAGAGGAAAAGAGCAACUCCCUCUAUUAGAACAAUAUUCUCGAAUCGUUGCCCUUUUAUUCAUGAAGAAAGAAAACACAUCGGUCUAUCUAAAGCAACAAAAUUCGUUCUAUCUUUCUUUCUCUCCUAUUAAUAAAACUGGACUUCUCCUCUGCUCCUAUCUUAGCGCGACGGAGAAGCCAGCACUGAGAGAAGACCUCCCUUUCAAAGUCCAUCGCCUGCACUUGAACCGGAUACCUACUAUUUAUUUUAUUGAACUAGACGAUCAGCGGACUUUUAUAUCAUAUCACCAACAACGGGUUUCGCCCACAGUACAGAGAUGAUCUCAAUCGCAUCGGCAUAAAGGUCCGGAUUCCACUUCAAAAGGAUUUACGCGCGAAUUCAACUAUAGACAAAGGUCCGGAUUCCACUUCAAAAGGAUUUACGCGCGAAUUCAACUAUAGACAUAUCUCUUUGGCGACCCAGGGACGGGGAUUCAUCAAUCCCGGGGUUCGAGGGAGACUUUAGAACCCCUAUAUAUGAGUCUCGAAACCAUUAUUUAUACAUUUCUCGAUGACAGAGAUCAUCUUUAAGGAGAAUAAACAUUGGUCCUUUAUUUAAUAACCCCGAUAUUAUCAAAACCAUGAUUUCCUUAUUUCUCGAUGGCAUAGGUUCCAGGGAAGGAAAACAGUCCGGUCCUUUUUCACCCCGAAAUUCGAGAGUAGCCGUAUAAACCAAUACCGGCAGAACCACCCAAACUCGGCUCAAAGCAGGAACAAAGACAUCUAGAAAGCCCACAUCACGUGGGGACUUGGCCUUGGUGGGACAUUCAACCGACAUACACAACCAAAUAAUAAUAGGUUUUAGCCAUGUAUUCCGCUACACCGCCCUAUUGAUCUACGCUUUCGAAGCAACCACCGGUACCAUUUUCACACAACAGAGCCGACUUACUUAUUACAUUUAUAGGACAG